rnacentral:rRNA from 1 species
UACGUAGGGUGCGAGCGUUGUCCGGAAUUAUUGGGCGUAAAGAGCUUGUAGGCGGUUUGUCGCGUCUGCUGUGAAAAUCCGGGGCUCAACCCCGGACUUGCAGUGGGUACGGGCAGACUAGAGUGUGGUAGGGGAGACUGGAAGUUCCUGGUGUAGCGGUGGAAUGCGCAGAUAUCAGGAGGAACACCGAUGGCGAAGGCAGGUCUCUGGGCCACUACUGACGCUGAGAAGCGAAAGCAUGGGGAGCGAACAGG